UGAAGACUUGUGUUUAUGGUUUCUUUUAGCUUUACUUGAGUCGAGUAAGUCGUUGAUGUGUGGUGGCUUCUAUCUCCAUGGAGAAAUCCCUGUUGUUGCGGUGGUGGGUAUCUUAAUGGGUCCUUGAGUCAGCUUUCGCGGUGCUAUCGAUCCUCCAAGCUAUACAAAAUUGAGAGGCUGCAAGCUCUCCCACCAUCACCUCUAGAUGUUGCCAUCAAUAGCUAUACUCUUUUAGACUCUAAGGUCCAGCAGAUUGUUAGGUACAUAGCUCCAGAAGGUGUUUUGGAAGUGUGCAGGUUCUCUUAUCACCAUGGAUGCUUCCAUUUUCCCAGUUUCCGAACCAACUCCAGCUCUAAGAGCUCCGAAG
rnacentral:misc_RNA from 1 species